UGGCUCAGGAUGAACGCUGGCGGCGUGCCUAACACAUGCAAGUCGAACGAAGCGGCUCAAAGUUUUCGGACAGAGAGUUGACUGAGUGGCGGACGGGUGAGUAACGCGUGGGUAACCUGCCUCAUACAGGGGGAUAACAGUUAGAAACGACUGCUAAUACCGCAUAACGCAUAGAGAUCGCAUGGUCUUUAUGCCAAAGAUUUUAUCGCUCUGAGAUGGCCUCGCGUCUGAUUAGCUAGAUGGCGGGGUAACGGCCCACCAUGGCGACGAUCAGUAGCCGGACUGAGAGGUUGAACGGCCACAUUGGGACUGAGAUACGGCCCAGACUCCUACGGGAGGCAGCAGUGGGGGAUAUUGCACAAUGGGCGAAAGCCUGAUGCAGCAACGCCGCGUGAGGGAAGAAGGUCUUCGGAUUGUAAACCUUUGUCCUAAGUGAAGAAACAAAUGACGGUAGCUUAGGAGGAAGCCACGGCUAACUACGUG
rnacentral:rRNA from 1 species